GAUGAACGCUGGCGGCGUGCCUAAUACAUGCAAGUCGAGCGAACAGACGAGGAGCUUGCUCCUCUGACGUUAGCGGCGGACGGGUGAGUAACACGUGGAUAACCUACCUAUAAGACUGGGAUAACUUCGGGAAACCGGGGCUAAUACCGGAUAAUAUAUUGAACCGCAUGGUUCAAUAGUGAAAGACGGUUUUGCUGUAACUUAUAGAUGGAUCCGCGCCGCAUUAGCUAGUUGGUAAGGUAACGGCUUACCAAGGCAACGUUGCGUAGCCGACCUGAGAGGUGGACCGGCCACCUGGGAACGGGACCACGGCCCAGACUCCUACGGGAGGCGGCAGUAGGGAAUCUUCCGCAAGGGGCGAAAGCCUGACGGGGCAACGCCGCGUGAGGGAUGAAGGUCUUCGGAUCUUAAAACUCUGUUAUUAGGGAAGAACAAUUGUGUAAGUAACUAUGCACGUCGUGACGGUACCUAAUCAGAAAGCCACGGCUAACUACGUG
rnacentral:rRNA from 1 species